rnacentral:lncRNA from 1 species
ACACAAAACAGCACCAUCACCUCACAAUUUCAUAGGCACACAAUCAUCUUCUUCACGAUAUAUUCACUCACAUUAACUGAUAAGAAGGAGGAGGAGAUACUCACCCUUAACACAACCUCACACCCUCUCCAUUUUCUCCAUUGAUUACACAAAAAGAACACUACACACAGAAAAUGAGAUAGAUCAAGAGAGAGAGUAGUAGAGAGGAAAGACGUGAAAAAAAAAGAGGAAAAAAGAUCUGGGUUUCUGUCCUUUUCACCUUCAUCCACUCCCACACAUGAAAAACACACGCACAUGAUGCACACAGUGAAACCAACAAAAAAAUAAGCAAAAAUGGUAUGAGAAUCGAAGGAGAAAAUAGAAUUCGGGUUUCUGGUUAGUAUUCCGGCAACCUCUUCAUCGGAAUCUCAUCGUUCUCUUUUGAUUUUUAGGUGAAUCUAAUCAGGAAAUGUUAAUCUCUCCAGAAUCUAUCUUGAUUCAUCGUUACUGCCGCUGUCUAGGCUCACCGGAUCUUAGGCUACACUGAGUUCGACUUUCUGUUGCAUAGUUGGAGUGUUGGGGUUCAUCUGUUUUCAUGUUUCAUCGUUGAAACCGGGUUUCCAUCUUGUCGAAUUGCUUAGAUUUGGUUUUAUUUUUAUUUUUGGGUUUUUAAGAUUCGAAUUUCAUCUUUCUAUUCGGAGAUUUUCUAUUGCCGUUCGGAGUUGUUGAUUCGGAAGUUUAUAAUUGAGUUUGGUUUCCCUAAUUAAAAUUUAUUCGGAUUGGGAUUGGCGAUAUCGAGUUGUAUCUUUGUCAUUUUUGAAGCUCGAAGUCGAGGUUACCGGCCGCGGUUCUAUCUCCGAUAUAUUAAAAGCGACACUUGAGGUCCAAUUCUAUCUUCUCUUUAAUUUUUUUUGUGAAUAUGAAUGAUUUGUUAUUUGAUAUGUUUGAAUCUUUGUUUUUAUGUUGGUUGAUGUUGGAUUUGAAUGUAGAAACUUGGAUUAGUAGUCGAAGAAUUGAUUAAUUAUUUUGAGAAUGAAUGCGGGAAGGGGUUCAUCUCGAUAAAAAUAAAUUUGGAUAAUUUUUAAUUCAUUGAUGAUGUUGAAAUGUGAUAAGAAUCAUGAUAGGUUGAGUUGGAUAGGAAAAUAGUAGGAUCGGGUAGGCAAAUUUAGAACUUUUGGAUUGUUGAAAAUAUUUGUUGAACGGUUUUAUUUUAUGAAUUUGGAUCGAUGGUAUUCAUUAGCCGGGGAAUGCCCCGAUGUCACAUUUGUAUUCAUUCAUCGGGGAAUGCCCCGACGUAUCAUGUACUCAGAGGACGCCCGUGAUGAAGGCCCAAAGCAUCAGGCAAGGCAUUGGAGCAUAGUUUAGGAUUAGCGUAGGUUACCGUAGGUUUACUUUUCAGUACCUUUUUCAUUUUGGGUUGUAAUAAUUUGAUCGGACACUAUAUUUUUGGACUGGUUUUGUUUGUUUGAUUGAUCAUUUUUGUGUGUUUUUGUGUGGUUUGUACAUUUUGUAGUAUCAAAUUAUCUGAUAUGCUCCACCAAGCGACUAUGGUCGAACCACGGGAUCGAGAGGUGUCUAACACCUUCCCCUCGGUCAACAGAAUUCCUUAACCGAAAUCUCUAUUCGCGGAUCAGUCUAAAAGAGUCAAAAUUGUUUUUUUUUUCAAAAGAUUUUCCAAAGUGACUUGGUACACCCGAUUUAUGCCAAGUGGCGACUCUGAGUUUUUGAAUAUAA